rnacentral:rRNA from 1 species
AUUGAACGCUGGCGGCAGGCCUAACACAUGCAAGUCGAACGAGUGGCGGACGGGUGAGUAAUUUCUGGGAAACUGCCUGAUGGAGGGGGAUAACUACUGGAAACGGUAGCUAAUACCGCCUACCAUCGUCUGUUCCCUGAUGGGUUUAGCUAGUAGGUGGGGUAACGGCUCACCUAGGCGACGAUCCCUAGCUGGUCUGAGAGGAUGACCAGCCACACUGGAACUGAGACACGGGCCAGACUCCUACGGGAGGCAGCAGUUGGGAAUAUUGCACAAUGGGCGCAAGCCUGAUGCAGCCAUGCCGCGUGUAUGAAGAAGGCCUUCGGGUUGUAAAGUACUUUCAGCGGGGAGGCGGUACCCGAAGAAGAAGCACCGGCUAACUACGUGCCAGCCGCCGCGGUAAUAG